rnacentral:rRNA from 1 species
GUCUACAGCCAUGCCACCCUGAGCAAACUCAAUCCCAUUUGAUCUCGAAAGCUAAGCAGGGUCAGGCCUGGUUAGUACUUGGAUGGGAGACCACCUAGGAAGACCAGGUGCUAUAGGCA